AAAAAGAGCUGUUGCACUUUAAGGGGGCGUGGCUGGAGAAUGCUACAAAUAAUGGGUGGACCCCUCGGGAAGGAAAAAUGGGUAAAAUGGGGGUUUAGAGAUCUCUAUCCGAGAAACUGGCUGGGGCCAAGCUCGCAUACUUAAGGAAUGCGGUGGUUAGGAAACUGGCCUACACCUCUACCGUACAUGACUCAAGAAGGGAGCACAUUUGAGAGCAAGCACCUCGUUUGGAGCAAGAGACAGUGCAUUUACCCCCAAACCCACUUCAAUUUUGGUAAGGUUUAUAGUUCAAAAGAAUUGGCAGGUUAUGGAGAAAUCCUCAGGAAUAUUUGUAAGCAAUAAAGUUGCCAAGACAAAUUAGUGAACUUGAGUUACGGACGGUUAGGCACCCCAACAUACUGAUGAGCUGUUUUUUCGAUUGGUUAAAUGGGAUACGCUUCUCAUAAACUGCUACUUGCCCGCCGCCCCAGCAUUUGAAGACAAACAGUAGGGCCUGCUACCUGGUACCAGGUGUCCACUGUUGUCUCCACCCACUAACCUAAAACUAACGUUCCCGUUUUAUCUGCUCUCCGAAACAUCCAGUCAGGUUGCUUGAAAAGAAUUAAUUUAUAGUAGCUUUGGGUAGCCUAGUCUCAGCUUUCCGAUUGGAUUGAAGCAAAGUAACUAAAUAGCCAAUGAAAGGGUAGACGUACAAGGGCUAUUUUUCGCAUUUGUGACGACACACUGAAAUUAACCCAAUCGUAAGUGACAUUUUACUGACCUCAUUUGAAUACCGCAUCUAUAAAUAAAUGUGUCUUUACCCACGGUGAUUAUUUUUUAAGGUAUUAAUGGUAGCGUAACUUGACGCUGAAAUGCCAGAACCCACGAAAUCUGCUCCGGCCCCAAAGAAGGGCUCUAAGAAGGCGGUAACCAAAGCGCAGAAGAAGGACGGCAAAAAACGCAAGCGCAGCCGCAAGGAGAGCUACUCGGUGUACGUGUACAAGGUGCUCAAGCAGGUCCAUCCCGACACCGGCAUCUCGUCCAAGGCCAUGGGCAUCAUGAACUCCUUCGUCAACGACAUUUUCGAGCGCAUCGCGGGCGAGGCGUCGCGCCUGGCGCAUUACAACAAGCGCUCGACCAUCACCUCCAGGGAGAUCCAGACGGCCGUGCGCCUGCUGCUGCCCGGGGAGCUGGCCAAGCACGCCGUGUCCGAGGGCACCAAGGCCGUCACCAAGUACACCAGUUCCAAGUAAACUUGCCAAGAAUCACACAUUUUGGCAUCUGAUGAAAUCAUGUACUUUUUCUCCUUUAACCUGUUGCAGUGACAUGCAACAAGCAGAUCUCUGUAUCCCAACCUCACCAGCAUCUUGGACCUGAAUUUGCAGCUGACAAAAGGACAUUUCCUGUCUAUCAUCCUCCCCCUAUACAAUAAUUACAGGACUCUCUAUCUACGGUUGAUAUUAUUUUAAAAGCUUUAUACUUUCUAAAUGUCUUUUGCUCAUUUUUCUUUAAAACAACCAAGCAUUGAAAACUCUACAAAAAAUGUUAUCUUAAAAUGGUUGAGGUUCUUUACUUCCAUUCCCCUUCAAAGGGUUCAAGGAUACAUGAGUCUUUGUAGAUAAUGACCUAUCUUCAUUUCAAGGGAAAGAGCCUGUAAUUGAUUCCCUUUCAAUUGAACUUCCAAAUAGAAAUCCUCUACAUAGAUAGGGCCAGCCAAUGUUAAUGUACGCGAUGGUGUUAGUUUUCAAACAUCUUGACUAAAUAAAUAAAGGGGAGAUGU